rnacentral:rRNA from 1 species
UGGGGAAUAUUGGACAAUGGGCGAAAGCCUGAUCCAGCCAUGCCGCGUGAGUGAUGAAGGCCUUAGGGUUGUAAAGCUCUUUCGACGGGGACGAUAAUGACGGUACCCGUAGAAGAAGCCCCGGCUAACUUCGUGCCAGCAGCCGCGGUAAUACGAAGGGGGCUAGCGUUGUUCGGAAUUACUGGGCGUAAAGCGUAUGUAGGCGGAUCGUUAAGUCGGGGGUGAAAUCCCGAGGCUCAACCUCGGAACUGCCUUCGAUACUGGCGAUCUUCGAGUCCGGGAGAGGUGAGUGGAACUCCGAGUGUAGAGGUGAAAUUCGUAGAUAUUCGGAAGAACACCAGUGGCGAAGGCGGCUCACUGGCCCGGUACUGACGCUGAAAUACGAAAGCGUGGGGAGCAAACAG